AGAGUUUGAUCAUGGCUCAGAGUGAACGCUGGCGGCGUGCUUAACACAUGCAAGUCGAACGAGAACGGCCCUAGCUUGCUAGGGUGUCAGCUAAGUGGCGGACGGGUGAGUAAUGUAUAGUUAAUCUGCCCCUUGGAGAGGGAUAACAGUUGGAAACGACUGCUAAUACCUCAUACUCCUUCUAUGUUAAUCAUAGUUGGGAAAUGUUUUUUCGCCAAGGGAUGAGACUAUAUGGUAUCAGGUAGUUGGUGGGGUAAGAGCCUACCAAGCCAAUGACGCCUAGCUGGUCUGAGAGGAUGAUCAGCCACACUGGAACUGAGACACGGUCCAGACUCCUACGGGAGGCAGCAGUGGGGAAUAUUGCACAAUGGAGGAAACUCUGAUGCAGCAACGCCGCGUGGAGGAUGACGCAUUUCGGUGUGUAAACUCCUUUUAUAUGGGAAGAGGNGGACGGUCC
rnacentral:rRNA from 1 species